GACGAACGCUGGCGGCGUGCCUAAUACAUGCAAGUCGAGCGGACGAAUCGAAAGCUUGCUUUUGAUUCGUUAGCGGCGGACGGGUGAGUAACACGUGGGCAACCUGCCCUGUAGACGGGGAUAACACCGAGAAAUCGGUGCUAAUACCGGAUAACAUGAAAUGUCGCAUGACGUUUCGUUGAAAGACGGCGUAAGCUGUCGCUACAGGAUGGGCCCGCGGCGCAUUAGCUAGUUGGUGAGGUAACGGCUCACCAAGGCAACGAUGCGUAGCCGACCUGAGAGGGUGAUCGGCCACACUGGGACUGAGACACGGCCCAGACUCCUACGGGAGGCAGCAGUAGGGAAUCUUCCGCAAUGGACGAAAGUCUGACGGAGCAACGCCGCGUGAGCGAAGAAGGCCUUCGGGUCGUAAAGCUCUGUUGUUAGGGAAGAACAAGUAACGCAGUAACUGGCGUUACCGUGACGGUACCUAACGAGAAAGCCACGGCUAACUACGUG
rnacentral:rRNA from 1 species